CCGAAGUACAGGCCCCUUCGGGGGCUACACUUCCACCCUUUGUUUACCACACACGUUGCUUUGGCGGGCCGCCUAGCUACUGGCUUCGGCUGGUAAGUGCCCGCCGGAGAACCCCAAACCCAAACCAUUUUACAGUGUCGUCUGAAUACAAGUUUAAAUAUUUA
rnacentral:misc_RNA from 1 species